AUUUGUGUGUGUGUGUGUGUAUAUAUAUAUAUGUCUUUAGAUAUAAUCCCUAGAACAAACCCCUUGUUUAUCUCCCUAGGUCAGUCAGUUCUGCAGAAGUUUGUCAAUCCUAUAAAGGUAGAUACAGAGAAUGUAUAAGGUUUUUGCCAUAAUAGUUGAUAUAUAUGUAUUCUCCAAAGCAAGAGGAAAAUCAAAUUACUACUCAUUUCCUCUAAAAUAUGCUACAAUUUAAGAUUACUAAUUAUUAAUUAUGUAUCACAAAUUCCAUAUCUGCUGAAAUUUUUUAAGAAUUAGGGACCUAUGACUACAGUUAACAUUCUAGUUUAGAAUAUUUUAAAAGGCUUUAAAAUAAAAUUUCAACAAGAGACUAAGAGCUCUACUUAAAUAUGAUCAAUUAUAUAAGUCAGC
rnacentral:lncRNA from 1 species